UGAUCGUUAAGGCCCUCAAACUCGAGUUUUUCUGGUAUGAACACAACCGGACAGAAUUAUGUCCAUCCAUUUGUUUUUCGAGUUUGAGGGCCUUAACGAUCACCAAAUUGGCUAAAAUUUUGCAGAGAUGAUCUACACAAUAUUAUCUAGAUACUAGACGGUGGAGAUGAGAAAAUUCGAUCGGAAAGUGGUGCAAAAAUGGAAAUCCGCACCAAAAAAUCGGUGCGGACGUCCGCAGCUGAGAAAAUCCGUAUAUAUAUAUAUAUAUACACAGAGCCGUUCAGAGUGGAUGUCCGCAUUGGGUUUAAAGUGCGGACGUCUCUUCGUUCUCCACCAUACGGCGCCGGCGCCGGCGCGCCUCCAUCCCAGCGGACUCCAGCAGCGUCCCCGAUCACUUUCCAUCCUCGGCGGACUCACCGAAUUUCAGUUUUCCGGUGAGAUCAGUUAAAACUUCAAACAAGAUCGAUCUCGCCGGAAAAAUGGAAUUCGACGGACUCGCCGGAGAGGGAAAGUGAUCGGGGACGUUGCUGGAGUCCGCUUGGGUGGAGGCGUGCCGUUGUCGGAGCCGUACGGUGGAGAACGAAGGGACAUCCGCACUUUAAGGCUGGUGCGGACGUCCGCUCUUGAUCCGGCCUGCAUACACACACACACAAUUUCCUUCCAUAGCUGGACACCAUUUUGAAAUUAAAGUGUGAUGCUCCUCGUUUCGCUCACUUUAGGUCACAUUUUCACAUCUUUACCAUUCAGUAUAUAGAAUAGUGUGUAGAUCAUUUUUGCAAAAUUUCAUCCAACUUGGAGAUCAUCUGGGUACCGAAUUAGAUUAAAUGAAUCAACUGAACAAAAUCUGUCCAAACGGAACAGUUCGUGUAAAUAACAAUUACGGAAGCUCAAAUGAUCUCCAAAUUAGAUGAAACUUUACAAAAAUGAUCUACACACUAUGUUAUAAACACUAAACGGUGGAGAUGUGAAAAUAUGAUCUAAAAUUAAAGUGAGCGGAACGAGGAGCACCACAUUUUAAUUUCAAAACGGUGUCCCACUCUGGAAGGGAACUGUGUGUGUGUGUGUCUAUAUAUAUACGGAGGAUCUAAAGAGGACCUCCUUACUUUAAGAAUUUGAGGAUUUCUACUAUUUUACAUUAGUAUAUGACUUCAUUUAACGAUCUCAACCGUUGAUCCUCUAGAUUCAUAUGCAAGAAACAUGUCUACAAAAUUUCAACUAAUUUCAUAAUCAUUUGGUCAUUCAAAUUGACGUAAACAAUUGUAGACCGUUAGAUAAAAUUAAAAUAAAUAUUGUGCUAAUCAAGUGGUUAAACGUUUUUCUAUUUGGCUAAUUUUUUGUAUGAUUCAUAUGUGGGUAAGUAACUAGGGAAUGAGUGGCUUUGUUUGUCAAAAUACAUGCUAGAACUAAAAACAUCCUCACUUUAAGAGUUUAAGGAGGUCCUCUCUAGAUAUGUGAUAAACGCAUAAAGUGUUAUGAUAUUAACGUAUUUUUUACCCUAUUUAGUUAUGUUAUUUCUUUAAUAAUACUAUUUCUAA
rnacentral:lncRNA from 1 species